AACGCACAUUGCGCCCUUUGGUAUUCCGAAGGGCAUGCCUGUUCGAGCGUCAUUAUCAACCAUCAAGCUCCGCUUGGCAUUGGGCGCCGUCCCCCCGUAAAACGGUGGACGCGCCUCAAAGGUGUCGGCGGUGGCACAGAGCCUCAAGCGUAGUAAAAUUUAUCCCGCUUCAGAGGCCUCUGCGUCGCCCGCUCCCAAAACACAUCACCUCAAGGUUGACCUCGGAUCAGGUAGGGAUACCCGCUGAACUUAA
rnacentral:misc_RNA from 2 species